UACGGGGGGGGGCAAGCGUUGUUCGGAAUUACUGGGCGUAAAGGGCUCGUAGGCGGCCAACUAAGUCAGACGUGAAAUCCCUCGGCUUAACCGGGGAACUGCAUCUGAUACUGGAUGGCUUGAGAUUGGGAGAGGGAUGCGGAAUUCCAGGUGUAGCGGUGAAAUGCGUAGAUAUCAUUAGGAACUCCGGUGGCGAAGGCGGCUCGCUGGACCUUUUCUGACGCUGAGGCGCGAAAGCUAGGGGAGCGAACGGG
rnacentral:rRNA from 1 species